CCGGUACAAUUUAUGGUGGACCGUUCCUCUUAAAAAUGGAGGUUAAAAAACCUGAUUAUGAGACAACAGUAAAGCAAAGUCAAUGAAUGAAAGCCUUUAUUUCCUAUUAAAGGGAGAUGCGGUUAAUGUUAAGAUUAAGAAUGAAGUAGUUACACCUAAUAAAACCCAUCCUCUGCUCAAAAAGUUGAAGAAGAGAAGGCCUUCUAAGAAGAAGGGAGCAGGACAGGAACACGUAGGCAGCCCAAGAGUCUGGUUUAGUCAGUGCUGCUCAGGGCAGAGAGGCUGGUGGCUCUGGAGAGGGCUGCGGGCGCAGUGAACAAAGAGAACCGAGAGGCAGACAGUCUGAGGCGAGAACGACAGAGGAAAAUGCCUGAGGAAUUGGGAAAGAAGAGCUGGAAAUGCUGUUCCUGUGGAGGUGAGAACUGGAUGAGAUCUUGGAACCUGGAAUCACACAGUCACAGCUCCAGCAGGGCCUCUGGCAACAGCCCCAGUGUCUUCAGCUACAGACACCACCUCUGUGAGUGCCAAGAAAAGCAAACAUAGGCCCCAGAUCUCCUGUUGCACCAACUGGAAAGAAGCCCACAGCAGAGGAGCUGAGCUGUGCAGACAGUCUUCCCAUGGCUCUUGAUUUUCCACCAUCCUACCCCCUUCUGAAUCCAAC
rnacentral:lncRNA from 1 species